UUAUGUUCUAUGAAAAUGAUUUUAUUUCAGGUGAGAUUUCAGGGAGACAGGAGAAGGAAAUCCAGUCUGUCCUUUGCAGAAGAUAGAGAUCCCAGUGCUGCUGGCCCAAAAGACAUGCCCUCUGACAAGGCAGUGAACAACUCAUCAGAGCCAAAUCCAAACAGGGGCAUGCACGCCCUCCCACCCAACUUGAGAUAUUUGGGUUUUGGAGCAUAAACUGGAGAAACAAGUUGUGCUGAAUCUGUGACAUGGAAAAAAUCAGCCUUCUCCUGUAACGUAUGUUAAUGGCUCCCUGUGUUCUUUCUGACAAACUUUACUUUUCCACAGGUGAGUAAGUUCUACAACACUGCUUUGCAUCUGCAGGAGCGCAUCUCUGUAUUUCCUGAGUGGCAUGUGUUAGGUGCUGAGGGAUACAGCAAAACCUGGGGCAGCCAGAAAUGCCAAUCAGUCUUUUUAGAUUUAUAUAAACUUAUUUUUCUUUUUGCCUUACGUCUAGAAUAGUCUAUUCAUUGGAGCGCAACAAAAUUCUAGUGACUUGGUGAAAUGCUGUGCGUAAAAAUUCAGAUUUUAAAGCAGACGUGGCUACAUAAAUAAUUCAAAAUGAAGUAAUAAUAAAGAUCCCAUUUGCUAUACA
rnacentral:lncRNA from 1 species